rnacentral:rRNA from 1 species
AUUGAACGCUGGCGGCAUGCCUUACACAUGCAAGUCGAGCGCGAAAGGGGGCAACCCCGAGUAGAGCGGCGGACGGGUGAGUAACGCAUCGGAACGUGCCCAGUAGUGGGGGACAACCUCGAGAAAUCGAGACUAAUACCGCAUACGACCCACGGGUGAAAGCGGGGGACCGCAAGGCCUCGCGCUAUUGGAGCGGCCGAUGUCCGAUUAGCUAGUUGGCGGGGUAAGAGCCCACCAAGGCGACGAUCGGUAGCUGGUCUGAGAGGACGACCAGCCACACUGGGACUGAGACACGGCCCAGACUCCUACGGGAGGCAGCAGUGGGGAAUUUUGGACAAUGGGGGCAACCCUGAUCCAGCCAUGCCG